UUGAGAUCACAGCCUGAAGCAGUGAUGGAGCACCUGGUGAGGGGUGCAGCCCUGCCUGCACAGGUGGAAGCAAUGCAGCCGUGGGGCAGAUGGGGCUGAGCCUGGCUCCACCCCUCCCUCGCCUCAUUGAAGGGCUGGCAGCCCCACAGGCAGGGUUUCUUCCUGGAGAUGCCUCUUGUGGAUUGCUGGGUGAGCUCUGGUUCGGGGGAAGAGGUCAGCGAUUCUUUCUUGAUGGCUGUUGGGGUUUUGAUCUCUGCCUUUCUGUGGGGAUUGUAAGCUGGUUUACGGUAGCUCUGUCAGCUCUGCCUCUGCUUCUGAUGCCUUCCACUUGUUCUCUGAGGGCAGUCAAGGGGUUCUCUGCCUUUCUCUGAACUGGUAACGGAGGGACUGAUGGACGUUCCUUUCUUUUGCUCUCAUCUGUUUCGGGAACGCUUCAGUCAGCCUCAAGGUGACGCUGGUUGGUUGACUGAGCGUUGCGACUCCAGAAAUGCCUGGAGCUGAUGCACUGUUCUGUAAAGGGAUUCUGUGUUCUGCAGAGUUCCUCUGCAACUCUUUCUAAGCUCAACACCUUCUUGUGACGUCUCUGUUCCCUCUUUCGUGAUUCUCAUUGUGGGAUCUCCAACCUGGGCCUCCAAACUCACUCCGUCUGCUCCCACAUUGCCGCAGCCCAUUUUAUGACACGUUCCCUCUGCGUCCUCGCGUCCUCCCUGUGUCCUCUGCCUGUGUCCCCUCUGCGUCUCCUGUGCCACGCAUUCAUUCCACCUGUGCUGAGUGUUGUUUGAGGGCACGCAUUUCAAUUCCGUUCCGCAUCUCGUUGGAUCUCCUUCUGUUUUGCGGCUCAAUGGGGUCGAAGGGUUUCUGGGGCUCCUCUGGUUAGUGGUUCCAGCGCUGUGCAAUCUGUGGGGCGGACGCUGGAACGGCAGGAACCCCUUGUUCAUGCGUUGCUUGUAUGCGGGUGGGUUUUGGGCCGGCUGUGGGCAGCUCCCUUGGAGAUGCAAUGGGGGUUGGUCCCCAGGGCUUGCCCUGCUCCCUGCCCUUUGUCCUUGCAGCCCCAUGAGCUCCGUGGCUGGCGAUAGAGCGAGGUGUGUGGAUGCGGCUGGGAGCUGAGCUGCAGGAAAGCCCUGGGCCCCAGCGGCCGUUUGCUUCAUCCUCACCCAGCGCCGUCCGCUCUGCGCUGCUCGAGCGCACUGAGCACAAGGAUUCAGUUCCUGUUUGGCCUGGUUCUCUCCCAGAUCUCCCUUAGGAAUUGGUCGGCAGCAACAGGUGUCAGGGCACGGCUCUGCGAGCGCCUUGUGGCCAACCCCCCCAGGCUCUCAGGGCUCUUUCUGUCGUGCUGGCAGAUGUGGCUUUGUAUUGAUAGGAAACAAAGGGCCGUCCUCUGCUGGAGCGCUGUGUCUGGAUCACCACAGAUAUCUCCAUCCCAGCCAUCAGGGGAUGCUGUCAGUUUCCCAGUCUGGAUGCCACCCAACCUCCCCAGCCCUCUUCCUUCCAUCCCUGCCCCCCGUUCCAUAGCAGCCCUGCAGCCAUGGCACCCAGCAGUGCAAUGCAGCAAUACCUCUGGUGCGCUGAAUGCUGGGGCCGGCACAGAGAGGCUCUGUGGCCGACGUGGAUCUUCCUGGUUGGACUGCUUGUGAGUUUCCUGGAGCUGUUGAGCACACGGGGUUCCCCGCCUGCCCUGAUUGCUUACAAGGCCAUCAAUGUCCUUUGUGUCGUCGUGCCUCACGGCUUCAGCUCCCUUUAGGUAUCGAAAGGCUGUUACCAGGUCGCCUUGGAGCCUUCACUUCUCCGGGCUGAACAGCCCCAGCUCUCUCAGCCUGUCCUUGGAGGAGAGCUGUUUGAUCCCUUGGUUCUGUUUUUUUUUUUUUUUUUUUUUGUGGCCAUCCUCUGAUGUGAUCCAACAGGUCCAUGUCUCUUCUGCACUGAGGACUCUACAUCCCGACAAAAUCUCUAGAUGUGGGAUUGUGCAGAAUAUGGACUCAGAUAAGGGAAGCCUCUUUACUUCACAGGUUCUACAGGAGCUGAUGAGAACUUCAGAAAUAAAGUGGGAGCUCCAUACUCCGUGGCACCCUCCUUCUUCAGGGAAUGUAGAAUGAAUCAAUCAGAUGCUGAAGAAGCACUUGUCAAAAUUGGUUUUAGAGACCAAACUACCAUGGACAAAGUGUUUGCCUGUAGCCCUUGUCAGAACACAAACCACUCACAGGAAAGGCUUAGGAGUAUCACCCUAUGAAGUGCUGUUUGAGUUGCUGUACUUGGGAAUGGUGAGAUGCCCGCUCUUGAAACCAAGGUGCACUCAUCCCGUGUAGGAGGCUGGUCCUAAUACACAUCUGGAAGGAGUCAAAGCUUCAGCCCGAGUGGGAUGGAAUGAACCAUUUCAGCGAUGCAGUGUUUCAGAAGGGAGAAAAGCACGGCGGGCACAACUGGAUUUCUGUGGUUGGUAAAGCUGUGCUGAGAAGUGGGCUGGCUGCUGCCCCUGGAAAUGUGUCUGCAGACUUUGCACCCAGAGGAAUGACUUUUCCCUGCAGGUUGGGCUUGUCUAAGGUGAUUUUUUCACGAGGAAAGAUUUGAAAUGCUUACUGCUAAUGGAAGAUGGAGAGAGGAAAAUCAAGUCAAAGGCACGCUAUGCAUAGCCAGCACGUAGCAUCUGCACCGCUCUCCCCCUGCACAAAGGAGGAGCAGCUCAGCAAGCUUGGCCUGGGCCAUGGAAGGGAGCAUACAAACAUCUGGACCAACCCCAACGGAGCUGCUUCUGCAGGAAUCCACGUGGGUUUUUUAAUGAAGAACAAACUCGCUGUGCAGCUUGUGAGUGAAUUCAUUCACACCUGUUAAUUGGCAUUCUUCUCUACCUGGAGCUGCAAUUGCAAUGGAUGCUUGUGGUCUGAUGUGCAGCCCCCUCUGAUGUGCUCAGAUGAGUCAAGUUGGCAAGGCCUGGCUCUCGGUUGGUGAGUUGUGCCCAAGUUCAGAGAGUUGACUCUUGUCGGCUUUGAGAUGCAUCUUCCAGUUGCACGCUGUGUUCUUCCUGUUGUGUUGAGCUCUUGAGCUCCAGCCCUAAGUCAGGAUGCAAGCGCUACCACAGAAGGGAUGGUUGAGAUUGGAAGUGCAGUGCAAAGGGCUGGAGCCAGCAGGAGCAGGGAUGUGAUCAUUCCCUGUACUCAGCUCUGGAGUGGUCCAACGCUGGAGCGGGCUGCUCAGAGACGUGCAGGUGUUCAAGAAACAUUAGAUGUUGUCCGGAGGGAUGUGGCUUAGUGGGAAAUAUUGGUGGUAGGUGGACAGUUGGACUGGAUGAUCUUGGAGAUCUUUUCCAUGCUUGCUAAUUUUAUGUUUCCAUGAAAGGCAUCUGCUGGUGAGAGCUUUGCUGGGUGAGCAUCACUCUGCUGGACAGCAGGCAGCUGUUGUCUGUGCAGACAGCCACAUCCAUGGGGAGUGGAGGCUUUUAACCUUAACCUUGUCUUUCAUGUCUCGUGUGCAGUAAGGCAUGUUGUUAUAAAGCACCAUCGUAGGGGCAACCUUGAUUUCUGCAGCCACCAGAGCACUCCCCCAUGCUUCUCCCUGUGGUGUGAGACCGUAUUGGAGGCCAUGCAGAAGCCUGGUCAUAACCAUGGAACCACAGAAGCGUUACCCAGGCAGAAGGAGCCUUUGUCACCUGGACUUCCUACCAAUGACCCAGGC